AAUCUUAAAAAUAAGUAAAACCAGUUUUUACCGGUCUACCGUUACCUGAAUUUGGGCCAUUCACUUACAGGUUAGUUGAAGGUAAUUGCAUAAGAGCAACAAAGUGUUGUGGAGCUUCUGAAGCAAGUGGUACAGUGCCUGCAGCCCAGCAAAAUUGGUGGAGUCCAGCAACUGAAGACACUUUUUGUCUCUACAGUUCUAAUGACAGUCACAUAGGUCAUCAGUGUGAGGAGUAUAUAAACCUGAAGCAUCACAUGGAGAGAAAAACCCAAGAAGUAGAAGGAGAGCUUGCUUGUCAGAAACAGGCUGAAGCUGGUCUACAGAAGACAGGCUACAGGUUGCAUGAAAUGGAAACUCUUUUUUCUGCUAUGACUGGUGAGGGAGAACAGACAAUACAAGCAUCAUCGUUGAACUGUGGUAUUUUACCUGAAGGAGAGAAACAGAUACUUCAAUAUGAUGAUAAAAGUUAUCUUAGAAAAGGUAUUCCAAUCUUGGAAAUACAGAAGCUGAAGGAGCAGAAUGCCAGCCUUCGGGCUGCUGUUGCACAAAUGAGGAAAGAAAUGGAGAGUCUGGAUGAACAGAUGCAGUCCUCUCUUCCUCUGACGGAACAAACUAUCACUGGCCUAACUGCAGAAAUCUCGUCACUCACUCCUGGUUCAUUUUGCACAGACCAAGUUUCAGUUAGAACCACGUUGAACAACAUCAAUGUCAGCUCAAAUAACUUGGGUUGUAUAAUAAACCCAAACACAGAAAAGGGGUCAAAAACCAAAGCUCUUGAACAAAAGACGGUCGAUUUUGGCCCUAUCUCAGAUAAUUGUUGUCCUGGUGUUAGUCUUCAGUAUGGUUUCAGCUGCCCUCUACACGGAAUGCAAAAUAUACUGAACGAAGCAGCAAGGAAAAUAUCAGUUCUGAGCCAAGAGAAGCAGCAGCUGAUUGAAAUGGGAAACAGACCCAGAACAGAUAUUGGAAUGGUAUUAAAGGAAGGACUUUGGCAUCCCAUUAGCUCUAAGCGCUGCACAGUUUGUGUUGCCUCUGGUAGCCUUUCUCCAAGAGAGCUUCUCAAAAGAACACAGUGUCAGCUUUCAGCUUUAAAGCAUCUACAACACAGACUUGCAACACAGGAGCUGCAGUAUGCAAAGCAACAACAUCUCUCAAGGAUCUCUUCCGUAAUUGCCUGCCCUAACUUAAAGGGAGAAAAAGCUCCAAGCAGCUGUGGGGAAGAAACAGAAUUACCAUCUGCUCAGGUUAAGCUAGAUAUCUCUACUGGAAAUUGUGGGCCAGAGCAACAAAAGGCACAUGCAUCCUCAAAGAUGGUUCAAAGUCAGCCGCUCAAGGAAAGUCCUAGUCAAGCCCAGCAGACCUGGAUUUCUUCAUCUAGAGCACAUAGAUCUUGCCAAGGUAUUUGGCAAACCUUAGAAAUGAGAUCAAGCCCUUCUAUUCUCAAUUCUCAAAACAACACUAAACAAGGUAAGCAUGCUGUGCAAAGUAAUUUGACUCAUCUAGAAGAAAACAAGUAUAGUAGUGGACUCUGCCACAUUCCGCUAAUUAUUUUUACAUAA
ensembl:lncRNA